rnacentral:lncRNA from 1 species
CAAAGCUCAUAUGCAUUCCCUUUUUCUUUGUAGGAAUGCCCUGAUGUCCGUUAUUUCUGCGUGAUGGGACUUCAGGGAACGCCAAUUCUGUGUUGUCAUUGGAGGUAUUCUUGCAGUUCAGACCUAAGCUAAUCAACAUCUUCACAUUUCCUUUCUUUGUCUUAGAGAUAUUUUUAAGAGGUUGUUUCAGUUAAACCAACCAGAAUGAAGAACAGAGCUUGAUUUACAGAUUUGGAGAAGACAGAGUCUUCCUUCCCAGGAAAAAAUCAGUGGAACUUGCAGUCCCAGAAGCCACUAGCAGCCAUUUUAGAUCCAAAAUAUGAAUGCUGAUGGAGUUGUUUUUUGGACUUAGACCAGUCUCAGCUGUAAUUUGAUGUUAUUAUUGCUUGUACUAAAACAUCUCUAACCAAUACUAUCAAGAUCUGCUGCAUAAUUUGUAAGACCCAAUGCUAAAUUAGAUGGCAGGAUCCCUUUUGCAAAGACUAUUAAAAAUUCCAAGGACAGAAACAGCACUAGUAUUAAACAGAGGGUUCUUCAAAAUGUGGAGCCCUGUGUGACUGUUGAUCCCUGACACUGGCUUUGAAUAUAGUCAUCUAUAUUAAAAUGUAACUUUGUAGUAUUUCCUUUGUACCUAAGAA